rnacentral:lncRNA from 1 species
CAACCAGUCAGUGCCAUGCUGGAGCAGAAGUCGGGCUCCUUCAUGACCAGUCUCUGUGACGAGAGGGGCCAUUUCCAUGCUUCCCAGGCAACCACCGCAGCAGGAAUGGUGUGAUACAAGCUUUCCCAAGGCAAAGAAGGGGGAUAUGCUGUGAAGCCUGUGAAGACAGACCCAGCGUACUACAGGCUUCUGGAUCUCCUCUUCAGCAAGGUCGCCCUUCAUCCAGAGCCGUAUGUGGGGAAGCUGUGCGAACUGUCCAUCCCAGGACUUCUGUCUGCCCAGUGUGAGGAGGCCAUAGCUGGAUUUGUCUACCGCUUCAAUCUUGGGGGUGACUGAAGCCUGUUUGAUUGAAGUACGGCACAUGGGUCCCCCACCGCUCCCCUCCCUAUCAAUCUCUGUAGUUGGUUGCAUUUCCUAAAGCCUUAGUAAUUCACUUUUACAUGAUAAGAUGUCACAUUUUGUUACUUUCUAUUGUAUUUUUCAAGCAUUCGAACGGGAGACGAGUGUUACAAAUUUUACGAAUCAAUGUGGAACUGCACACUUCUAGGGUGGCCGG